CUAUUGUUUUUAUAAAGUCUACAUACCUACCUUAGUUAAAAAUACUUCAUUGCUAAAAAAUGCUAACCAUCAUCUGAGCCUUCAGCGAGUCAUAAGCUUUUAGCUGGUAGAGUGUCCUGUCUCGAUGUUGAUGGCUGCUCACUGAUCAGGGUG